UGAAGAUAAAUGUCAAGUUUCAAGGGAUAAUCAUGAAGAUCGAGAAAAAUGGAAUAUUUCCGCGAGAAGAUAAAUUCGAAUCAAGGGCAGAAAAUGGUCGGCUGGCCUUGGAGGCAUAUAUAAGGGGAGCCAAAGCAAGAAGCGCAUGUACAAUUCUUUUUAGACUCUUAGACUCUCUGCACUUAGAAGCUUUAGGCAUUACUCUCGACAUGUCAUGUUUCUAUGACGGGCACUCGAUUACUAGACGAACUCGUACAGGAAGUUCGAUCUCUUGUUCAAACUUUAUAAUCGAACUACGUUCGGCUUAAUCCUCGAAAGGGGUACGUAGGCAGCCUUUUAUAAGGUUCAGUCCGAAAAUCAACAAAACAUUUUUCGUAUCGUUUUCGUUUGUUGUUAUAGAGAUGCGACUCAAUUAGGUUUAAGGUUUUUGGUGGCUAGAAUUAGGGAACUCGCUGACAGCUCUUGCAGCCGAAGCUUCUUUAAUCUUUUAUAAUAUUCGAAAUGAUCUUACGUGGAUUCAAAAUAAAGAUCUACUUUCUAUGUAAAUCGUUUUGUUAUCUUUUCAUAUUUUCCGUAUUUAUUUGGUCACUUGUCGUUGGCUCUCCAGAAAAUCCAAGACCUCAGAGAAAGUUAGGAUUUCCUGACUUUCU
rnacentral:lncRNA from 1 species